UACGUAGGUGGCAAGCGUUUGUCCGGAAUUACUGGGCGUAAAGCGCGUGUAGGCGGCUUGGCAAGUCGGGUGUGAAAGCCCUCAGCUCAACUGAGGAAGUGCGCCCGAAACUGCUGAGCUCGAGUGCCGGAGAGGAUGGCGGAAUUCCCCAAGUAGAGGUGAAAUUCGUAGAUAUGGGGGAGGAACACCGGUGGCGAAGGCGGCCAUCUGGACGGUGACUGACGCUGAGACGCGAAAAGCGUGGGGGAGCAAACAGG
rnacentral:rRNA from 1 species